UACGUAGGGUGCGAGCGUUUGUCCGGAAUUACUGGGCGUAAAGCGUGCGUAGGUGGUGAGUUAAGUCUGUCGUGAAAGCCCCCGGGCUCAACCUGGGGAAUGGCGAUGGAUACUGGCUCGCUAGAGUGCGGUAGAGGAGAGUGGAAUUCCCGGUGUAGCAGUGAAAUGCGUAGAUAUCGGAAGGAACAUCAGUGGCGAAAAGCGGCUUCCUGGACCAGUACCGACGUUCAGGCACGAAAAGCGUGGGGGAGCAAACAGG
rnacentral:rRNA from 1 species